CGCCUCCUGUAAAAUUAACAUAAGAGGUACUGCCUGCCCAGUGACACCUGUUUAACGGCUGCGGUAUAAUGACCGUGCAAAGGUAGCAUAAUCACUUGUCUCUUAAAUGGGGACCCGUAUGAAUGGCAAAACGAAAGCCCAACUGUCUCCUCAAACUAAUCAGUGAAAUUGAUAUUUCCGUGCAAAAGCAGAGAUAAUUAUAUAAGACGAGAAGACCCUACGGAGCUUAAAACCUAAAUUAAUAUAUUGAAUAAGAUAGUCUAAAGUUUUAGGUUGGGGCGACCACGGAGAACAAUAAAUCCUCCGAGAUAUAUAAUCUAGAAGAACACUUCAAGAUAACACUACAAUUGAUAUAAUUGACCCAAUAAUUGAUCAACGAACCAAGUUACCCUAGGGAUAACAGCGCAAUCCUCUCAUAGAGUUCCUAUCGACGAGCGGGUUUACGACCUCGAUGUUGGAUUAGGAAAACCAAAUGGCGCAGCAGCUAUUAAAGGUUCGUUUGUUCAACGAUUAAAGUCCU
rnacentral:rRNA from 1 species